GGUUGGUUCAGUGGUAGAGUCCUUGCUUUGCAUGCAAGAGGUCCUGGGUUCGAUUCCUCAGCACCA
rfam:Dipodomys ordii contig_16732, whole genome shotgun sequence.